rnacentral:tRNA from 1 species
CAAAAAGUAGUUUAAAAAAAAAACAUUAACUUUGGGUGUUAAAAUUCAAUCUUACACUUGUUUUUUGA